UACAGAGGUCUCAAGCGUUGUUCGGAUUUAUUGGGCGUAAAGGGCGCGUAGGCGGCGCGGUAAGUCGGGUGUGAAAUCUUGGAGCUUAACUCCGAAACUGCAUUCGAUACUGCCGUGCUUGAGGACUGGAGAGGAGACUGGAAUUUACGGUGUAGCGGUGAAAUGCGUAGAUAUCGUAAGGAAGACCGGUGGCGAAGGCGGGUCUCUGGACAGUUCCUGACGCUGAGGCGCGAAGGCCAGGGGAGCGAACGGG
rnacentral:rRNA from 1 species